rnacentral:rRNA from 1 species
AUGGCCGCCACCGGAGCAGCGCUGCGGCUUCGCCUCCUGUUCCGGAUGCUGAGGGUCGGGGAGCUCAUCGCCCUCGCGGCGCUCCUGUCGUGGUCCUCCUCCCGCGCGCCGUCCGUGGCCGCCGCCGCGAUGCGCGUCGCCGGCUCGCUCCUCUUCAGCCCGCGAUUCGUGUUCGUCCUCGGCAACGCCAUCGUGCUCCUCCUCCUCGCGCUCUCCAGGCGCGAGCGCGUGGAGCCGUCCUCCGCCACCUCCUCUGUCGGCGGCGGUGUGGAGCAGAGCCAGGCCCCCGCGGCCAGCUUCGCUUCGUUCGCCGCCCCGACUCCGCCGCCGCCGACGCCGAUGCCGACGCAGGCAAGUGAAGCGCCCGCGGUGGUGGUGUCAACCAUGGCGAUGGCGAUGGCGACGGUGCCGGAGGAGGAGGAGGAGGUGGUGAAGCCGGUGGUGUCGGUGACGACGCGCGCCGUGAGCAAGGCCCGCGCGCCGAGGCGGACGCGGUCGGAGAAGAUGGGCCGGCGCGGCGAGCUUUCGAGGCGGUCGGCGUCGCCGGAGCCGCUGCCGCUGAUGCGGCGGUCGGAGUCGGACAACGGGCGCAGGCGGCGGUCGUCGGUGACGGCGCGGGACGUGGCGGAGGUGGGCGUGGCGCGCGGGUGGGCCGGCUCGGACGACGCGGAGGAGUUCCGGCGCACCGUGGAGGCGUUCAUCGCGAAGCAGACCCGGUUCCGGCGGGAGGAGGAGUCCAUGGCCGGCACGCUCGUCCUGGUCGAAUAA